CCUACGGGUGGCAGCAGUGGGGAAUAUUGCACAAUGGGGGAAACCCUGAUGCAGCGACGCCGCGUGAGUGAAGACGUAUCUCGGUACGUAAAGCCCUAUCAGCAGGGAAGAAAAUGACGGUACCUGACUAAGACGCCGCGUCUAACUACGUGCCAGCAGCCGCGGUAAUACGUAGGGGGCAAGCGUUAUCCGGAUUUACUGGGGGUAAAGGGGGCGUAGACGGCAGCACAAGUCUGGAGUGAAAUCCCGGGGCUUAACCCCGGAACUGCUUUGGAAACUGUGCGGCUGGAGUGCAGGAGAGGUAUGCGGAAUGCGUAGUGUAGCGGUGAAAUGCGUAGAUAUUAGGAAGAACUCCGGUGGCGAAGGCGGCAUACUGGACUGUAACUGACGUUGAGGCUCGAAAGCGUGGGUAGCGAACAGGAUUAGAUACCCUUGUAGUC
rnacentral:rRNA from 1 species